UACGUAGGUGACAAGCGUUGUCCGGAUUUACUGGGCGUAAAGAGCGCGCAGGCGGUCGAUCAAGUCGAGUGUGAAAGCCCCCGGCUCAACUGGGGAGGGUCAUUCGAUACUGAUCGACUCGAAGGCAGGAGAGGGUAGUGGAAUUCCCGGUGUAGUGGUGAAAUGCGUAGAUAUCGGGAGGAACACCAGUGGCGAAGGGCGGAACUACCCUGGCCUGUUACUUGCGU
rnacentral:rRNA from 1 species